UUAUUUUGAUGUCUCUUGGUUCAUGGAGGUGGUUUAGAGCCAUUUAGGCGAGUUUUACUUUCUGGCGGUUUGCUUCCGCUAAAGAGAAACGAAACUUAGGCGGGCGACCCACUCGCCAGACGGCCCGCACUCAAAGCCCCGUAAAUUCCACAAAAAUGGUCUAAUCUCGUCAAAAUUGCCUCAUGGCAGCCGUCGAUAACUCUUCUUCCCAUUCGCUUUCUCCCAAGGUUCCAAAGUUUGUCUUAACCACCCGAGAAUAGCUGGUUUUCCAGCUCUUGCUUUCAAUUUUUUGCUCCGUCUCGAUCCGUAACCGAUUAUCUUGGCCACACGAUUUGAAUUUCUUGACAAAGUCGCUUCCAACCGUGGAGAGGCACAGGGCGGUUGGAGGCGACUUUGUCACGAUGGCCCGGUCGCUAAGCUAGAAAUUCCAAAAAAAAAAAAAAAUCUAAAACUGUGGGCCCCAAAAUUAUCUCACGCACAAAAUAUGUCACACCUUGCCGAAAUUUACCGCCUGUUUUCUAGACGCAUUACCGCGGAGUUUGUCAUUCCUAUCUGUAUAUCCGUAGGUGUGUUCCUACGAAAUGUAAACUCUUGUACGAGUUAGGUAUAUAUACAGGCGCUUCGUGUUGUAUUGUUAAAUUCCCUGACGGCGUGUGCGUUAGUCACACGAAACGCGUAGGAGAAAUAAAGAAGUUAUACAACUACAGUUCGCAGAGUGCUGCUCACUAGUUAAGUUUUUAUCAAAUUGUUCCAGUCUUCGAGUCUUCAUAACAUGAUGUACUAAACAUAUGUCUCGUCUGGUUUAUUGGUUCACCGCUAAGACACAUACUGUAUAAGAUACAAGAACUGGCAAACCUCCACUACAUGAGCUGCAUUGCUCCGAUGGAUCUCCUCAUUCUCGAUAUUUGAGCCACUCUACCUUGUAAACUUCUCGUCGCCUUGCCCUACAAGUUUUUUUUCUCGCCUGAAGACAAAAGCGUAGUCUGCUUUACGCGACUCAGCGCCGUUAGAUCGAAUGCGAAUAGGUUACGAAUAAGAUCCGAAACGACUCUGCUCGCAGGGUAGCUGCGAAAGAUCUUCAGAGAAAUCGAGUUUUUGUUCAUUAUGAAAUACAAACGCACAACAUGCACCAUCGGAGGGAGUCUUAUAACCGGAAUUUUCCGGCAUUUCCUUAAGCUUCUCUCUUGCCCUCCCAACUUCACCCGUACAUCGAUUAUUCACAAUAGAACAUGAAACUGUUGUUAAGUAUUUUGUUCAUUAUGCGUUUUCAACUUCCGGUGGAUUCAUAUGCCAUCUAUAAUAGUGAAAAGAGGUUUGAGUCACUAAAGGAGAUGACUGCAGGGUUAAGGUGCGCGUCUGAAUUGCAGUUGUUGUC